ACUGGCUCAGGAUGAACGCUAGCUACAGGCUUAACACAUGCAAGUCGAGGGGCAGCAUGAAGUUUGCUUGCAAACUUGAUGGCGACCGGCGCACGGGUGAGUAACGCGUAUCCAACCUUCCCUAUAGUAGAGGAUAGCCCGGCGAAAGUCGGAUUAAUACUCUAUGUUUUCCAAUGCAGACAUCUAAAAUGGAACAAAGGUUUACCGCUAUAGGAUGGGGAUGCGUCUGAUUAGGUAGUCGGCGGGGUAACGGCCCACCGAGCCAUCGAUCAGUAGGGGUUCUGAGAGGAAGGUCCCCCACAUUGGAACUGAGACACGGUCCAAACUCCUACGGGAGGCAGCAGUGAGGAAUAUUGGUCAAUGGGCGAGAGCCUGAACCAGCCAAAGUAGCGUGCAGGAUGACGGCCCUAUGGGUUGUAAACUGCUUUUAUGCGGGGAUAAAGUGGGGAACGUGUUCCCUUUUGUAGGUACCGCAUGAAUAAGGACCGGACUAAUUCCGUGCCAGCCGCCGC
rnacentral:rRNA from 1 species